AUUCUAGAAGGGGGAAUUCCGUCUGCUGCCACAGAGAGAAGUGAAGAGAGGCAGGAGAGUCACAGGUGUGCUGUCGGUGAGCUUUGGGAGAGCGGUGGCUGCAGGCUGGUGGGUGGAACCAGGCAGACUGUGGACGGUCCUGUGCCUGGCGGAUGAGUCCUGUGCCUGAUCGGAUCACAGCAUCCUCUUCAGAAACCAGCUCUUCACUGGAGAUGGAAGCCUCCUUAGAAAGGUCCUUCUUGGAGACCCGGGGGUUGCUGAUGAUGAACUGGGCAGCUGGGACCAAGGAGAUGGAGGAGGUGAGGGCAGAGAAAGAGCGUGGUAAGGAGCAGCCAGCCAGCACUGUGUCGUAUCCCUUACCAUGAAGAGGAUAUCAGGGUUGAGUCAAGGCCCAGGAUUGAUGUUCCAUGCCAGCAUCCAAAUCCAUGAGCACCUGAUUUUGGAUGCCUUUGAAUAGGAUUUGCACUUCUAGCAAAUUCACCUUCUUAAUGAAAAGAGAUUAACUCUGCAAACACCUGUCCUGUGGUUUGGUGCAUAGGAGGGGGUUCAAUAAAUUUUGUUUCUUUUCUUUUUUUUCUUUUCUUUUCUUUUCUUUUCUUUUCUUUUCUUUUCUUUUCUUCCUUUCUCUCUCUCUCUCUCUCUCUCUCUCUUUCUUUCCUUCCUUCUUUCUUUGCCAUGCCUGAGGCAUGCAGGAGUUUCAGGGCCAGGGAUUGAACUCCCAGCCACAUCAGUGUUGACGCUGGAUCUUUAACCCCCUGCGCCACCAGGGAACCCCCAAAUAUUGGUUCUUUUCCUCUGAAUUUUGGGUAGUUCUUGAGUCUGCCUUCUCUGGCUUCUGUCAGGUAAAUUGGUGGGGCUGGGCGAAGUUAGCCUGAGAUUAAACCAUGCUGAUGGAUAAUCCACAAUGACGGGUCAUGGUCAAUGGUCAUGGCUUUAGGGCUGUGGGGGUGGGGAGCCUGGGGCCCAGGAGCAUCCUUAUCUCAAGGUGAGCUGAAACCUCUCACUUGCUAGGGUUCUGGUGUGAGAUGUGGUCCCCACUCCCAUCUCCAAGGACUAUGCAGCGUGAAGUGCUGUUCCAAUGGUUUCUGGCCCCUAGAGCUGGACCAAUUAGUUUAGUGGGAAGGAUUAACCCCCAGAGGGAUUGUCUUUGCGCCACUUCCUCUUCAGAUGGAGAGGCCAUCAUUUAUGUACUGGACAGUCUUUUAGCACUACGGGCUUACUCUAAAGGAUGCCAACAUGAGACUUACAGGCAGCUGUGGGAUGAGCCUCCAUGUCGACUUCAUCUUCUGGCUCUGAAAAAUAAGGGGUUAACAUCUCCAGAGGUCUUAAGACUUAAACAUGCAAGAUGCUCCAAUGCACCCCCUCCUGCCCCAGCAUUUUCCAUCUCCCUUAUCUUGCUCCAUGUUUUUCUUAGCAUUUCUAACAUACUCUCAUUUAUUGAAUAUGCCUAAUGUUUGUUUCUUCCCCUUAGAAUGUGAUCUCAACGAUGACCGAGGUCUCUGCAUUUUGAUAGUGUAUCUAAAGCACCUAGAGCUAGGUGCCUGGCACAGAGCAGGUGCUCGGUAAAUAGGUGCUGAAUGCGUGCGUGCAUAUGUCUUGCCUUCACUGUACAGAGGGAGGCAGAGAGGUCCACAGAAGGAUAGUGACUCUGCCUGGGGUGUCCAGCAGCAUCUGAGGCUGGAAUCAAAUCUGAAUCUCCAUGGAUCCAUAGUCUGCCCUGAUUUGGGUCCAGUUUGGCUCCUCUGGCCCCAGCUGCAGGCUUUCUGGGGUCAUGGGCCCCAGAUCCUUGCCUCCGUCUCCCAACCUUUCCACUCAGCACAUGACAAGGAUUAAGGAAAGCCCUUUGGAGCACUGAGGUCUCUCCAGCUGACAGCUCAGUGACCCUAGGGGACAGAAGGGAGUUUGAUGGAAGCCAGACUCACCCUUAAGGACGGCGAGAGAUGUGGACACCCAGCUGGCCAGCAGCAGGACGGCAAAGAGUUUCAUGGUGGGGUUGUAGUGGGAUCUGUUUUUCCUGGGUGGGGGGAAUGCUUGGUGCUGCAGAGGGGGCCGCCUGGCAGGAGCCUUAUUUAUUCUGGGGUGGGGAUGGGCUCUGGGAACCUGGUUCAGGGUUGGACCUGGGAACAUUCCAGGUUUCCCUUCCUAAAUUCCCUAUUCUGAAUACAUUUGUUUUUGGGAACUGGAGCUUCUGGAAAACCAGUUAAGAGGAAAGCAGGGUCCCCAGUAUUCCCCCUGCCCAGAAUGUGCCCAGGGGGGCCAGCCCCAGGCUCCACAGAAACUGCCUGGGUGUAAGCAUCCCUUCUUCGUGAUCCUUAUUCUUGGUAGAAUGUUACUUUUGUUUGCAUGACCAUUUAAUUAAUGUCUAUUGCCCCCAGGAGAAUGAGACUUCCAUAAUGCCUGGGAUUACCUCUGUUUUGUUCGUCAUUGUUUUUCUAAGUGUGGGCCAGCACUUAGAAAGGAGCUGACCCACAGUGGGGGCCCAGAAUAUAUUAGCAGAGAGAAUGAAUAAAGAAAGAGCUAAGCUGUCCUCUAGGCUAUGGAUAAAUCUCCACACAUGUUCAGGAAGGAAAGGGCCAGGCUGUUAUAGGAAUUCCAAUUACAGGCCAGGCAUUGUCCUGAGGUUGUUCACUUGGGAUCUUUUAUUUAACUCACGAUGCUUGUGAAGUAUAUGUUAUUUAUCAAGGAAAAAACAUGUUCAGGGAGGUGAGGUGACUUACACAAGGUCACACAUCAGGGUGGAUCCGAACUUCACACCCUAUGUCUUACACAUCCAGGGUCUGGUGGAUCUAGAACGGGGCAAGAUGGAGCAGCAGACAAAGAGGCAUUGGGGACCUGGAGCCUGGGUCCAGGCCCGAGACUGAAGGACUUGACCUCCUGUGCCCUCCUCUGGCUGAAGGAUUUGAUGAUCUCUCUGGAACCUAUUUCUGGAUCACUUCCAAGAAGGUGGGGGCUGCUGCCCUGUGAUGGAACCUCCUGUCCUCAGCAGGGAGCCUGGCUUGCUGGACACAUGGGGGUCCCACAGAGAGUAAGGUCCCACCUGCAGACCACAGAGAGCUCUGGACUGUGCCAAUCGAGCUGGGGCCUCCUCUAUCUUGGGUAGCAGGGGUCAAGAGCCUGGGGGCUGGCAGUCAACCUCCAAUUGCUCAGGCGCUGCUUGCUCCUUAGGCCAGUCUGAGAGGUGGAGGUGGUUUGUCUUGGGCUGCCUCCCACCUGCCCUUCAGCCCCGAUUCCCUCCCUGAGCGGCCCCCCUACCCCCCCGCCCACUGACCAGCAGCCUCCCUUCUCACAUCCCCAGGGCAGGGACAGAAGAGGGCCUUCACAGUGUCCUUGGGGACAUGGUUGCAGCCCUGCAGGCUUCUUUCCUAAGACUCCUAAUAAGCUGCAAGUUUGGGUCUCCAUCCUUUGCAGUCUAGGCUGUUUCUCACUGGUUCUCCCUGACCUUUGGGCCUCCAGGCCGUCUCCGCUAGAGCCAUUCUCUGUGCUAAUGCUGGAGGAAUCCCUCCAAGUCAGGCCACUUCCCAGCUCAAAAGUCUCUAAUGACCAUCCCUAUCAGGAGGAUAAAGUCCAAACUCCCUGGCCACGUGUUCAAGAAAUACUAUAAAACUGGAUUGUGAUUGCC
rnacentral:lncRNA from 1 species